UCCGAAUUGGUGUAGUGGCUAACAUUUGACGCUCUCAGUAUCCCGCAUGGGAAAAAGGUACCGUCAAGCCCGGGGUUCGAUUCCCCGAUUCGGAG
rnacentral:tRNA from 1 species